rnacentral:lncRNA from 1 species
AUUAGUAUAUACUUGUUACUCACGAAUAAAAAGGUGACGUUUCUUGAUCUUCUUUUCACCAAGCUGAUUGAUCAUAGAAACAAACAAAAAGAGCAAAACAAAAAACACUAUAAGUUCAUAUAGAUCCUUAUAUAUAUAUACUCUUCAAAGAAAAGAAAGAACGAAUUGUGAUCCCAUCAAGAAGAAAAAGAAGAGACUAAUUAUGGAUAUGGAAAAUUAAGACAUAAGCAUGAUUGAAAAUAAUAUAAUAAAAUAAUAGAGUUAAGGGGGAAGCUGAAAUUAUAUAAAAUAGAAAAGAAAGAUGAAGAACCUGGAUUGAUAGAGAUCUGAUGAUGCACGUGUUUCAUGAUCAUCUCAAGCUGCAAAAGGAAAGUUACAAUAGAGAAUUUGUAUCAAAGAGAAAGAGGGAGAGAGACAGACUCACUCACACAAGAAUAUGCACUUAUAUACAUACCUAUGUUUUAUGGAGAUGUGUGUGUGUGUGUGAUUGCUAUGUGAGUUUGGUCUCUGUGUCAGACUCAAAGAUCUCUCUGCAACUCUUUUCUCGCUCAAAGGGGAAAUAUAAAAUACAUUUAAAAAGCUGAAAGAUGAAUGUAUAUUAUAUUAGAGAGAGAGAGAGAGAGAGAGAGAGAGAGAGAGGAUAAAAGAAAAGGAGAGAUAAAAGAUACCCAUCUUUCCCUUCACUCAUUAAUCUUCUACAGUCUUAGUACGCCACCAUCUUCUCUCUAUUUUUUUUUUCUUCUUUUGUGUUAUGGUCGGUAUAUCUUAUAACCAAAACGUUUUAUUAUGUUUCUUCUUUCAUUUCAUGACAUUAACAAAUUUUUAAGACAUGAAGUCACUAUGUAAAUUUAGUGUAGUAUUGUCAUCAGAACUUGAUUUCAACUCAUAUUGAUAUUGAUACAGAUACUGAUACUUGUAUAUGUUGUAUUCACAAAAAUUAAGCUUCUGCAUGUGUUUACAACUUUAUGUUGGCCACCGGCUAAUUUUAUACUAUGUUUAGUUUAAUAAACUAAAUGGACAAUCCAACCAUGUUGGAUUUUUUUUCUUAGAUGGCAAAAGUAAUAAAAUAUGUUAGUUUCCUUAUACUUACCGAAUAAAUUGGAUACUAGAAAGUUUUCAUAAUUUAUAAAUUAUAUAUUUUUAAUAUGUUUAACAAAACUGAGUAUAAAAAUACAAUAUGCUUAAUUUUGAAACAUCUCUGAAAGAUUAGAGCCAUUGGUUUCACAUCUUCAACAAUAAUAAAAUAACAAAACAGGAAUAUAUGUAUAAUUUCUUUAAUAAGUUGCAUAGAUUUCUUUCAUAAUGUAUAUAUUUUUAAGAAAACCUUUACUUCAUUGUUUUUCAAAACGUUUUACACUAUGUUGUAAUAACAGCGGGGAUUCAGAAUGAUUACUAUGUCUAGCACAUUGAUACAUAAAAUCCACACGAAGACAUACAUUAUAAAAUAUGUUAAAUAUUUAAUUUCAAAUACUUCUGUAUAUGAUUGUUUACUUCUAAUAUUCAAUUUAGCAUACAGGACGGUAAAUCAUAAAAUCAAAUUUCAAAAAUAUUUUCAGUUUCAUAGACAUAUAUAUCUAUAUAUAUACAUAUAUAAUCUUACAAGGGUUUAUAAUUCGUGUACGUGCAAUGGAUUAAUAGCAGAGGAACUUGUAUGAUAUGACCUUGGCCUUUUAUGUAUUGACCUGGUAAUGAACCCACAUAUCCUAACAACCAAACACCCUUAUUUAGAUAUUUAUGCAUUACAUAAUUUUAUAUAGAGGAAAUCAUUAUUAUCGCAUCAAGACAUAGUGACAUGUAUGUCGUGUCCAAUUUACAAUCAUAUAAUUUUUUUCAUUUUAAUAUUAUGUUUAUGUUUUCUAAUAAAAAGAAAUCCAACACGCAUCUGAAUCCAAAUCUUUCUUUACUGAUAUAACUACAAUCCUGAACAUAAAAUAUUCUUCAGAUUACUAUACUUAAGAGACUUUUAUCAUCAAGUUCAGACACACUAAAGAUGGCACAUAAAUCUAAUUAACUUGAAAAUUAUACCAAAUUUGUAAUGUUUUAGUUACAAAUUAGACAUCCUAAAAUUUUUAUAGAAAAUUUACUUAGAUGUUUCUUUCUAUCAAGUAAACAUAAAACUUAUUUGUUUCAUUGGUGUUAAUCGUCAACACUGUGAUAUUCCAGUAACAACAAAAAAGCGCAAUUUAUAAGUUCUUACAGAAACUAAAUAUCUCUAUUAUUCAACAGCGAGAAAGAUCAAUGAGCAAAGUUUUGUCUUUUACGUUGGACACUGCCUAUGAGAAACGGUAAUCUUUUUGUUUUUGUUAUUUAGGUGAGUAAAAAUUAACGGAUUAACUUUGCUUUCCCUUUUAUUUUUAUUUUUAUUUUUUUCAGUCUAUCUCUUUGUUCCCUAACUGUUUUAAUUACGCUGAGGAUUACCUGCCAAGAAUAUAUAACUCAGUAAAAUAUUAAUAUUUUAAAUGUACAUAAGGGGAUUAUAGAAAUUGAAAUACGAAAAGUGAAGUGUGUCAGAAGAUCCAAACAGCACAAAAACGAGGAAACGUCUCCUUCUGCAGAAAACCUAUAAUAUUCAAUACACAAAAAAUCUAAAUUAUUGAGAAAGAGAGGAAGAAAGAAGAAAGAAGAAAGAAGAUGAUAACGAUAAUGAUAAUGAACCAUGAUGGAAAUAAUGGCCCCACUUAAAUAAAUUCAUUUAAAACCACGUAAGUGCACUUGUAUUUUGUAAAUUUGUAGUGAAUUUAUUAGUAAAGUGCUAAAAUAUAAAAGCCUGCGAAUGUCGUAGUUUUAAAUCAGAUUUUUAUUUAUUUUAAGCACUCUCUGAAUUCAUAUGAAAAUUUCAAAAAUUAUUUACAGCUGUUUUAAU